UACGUAGGGUGCAAGCGUUGUCCGGAAUUAUUGGGCGUAAAGAGCUCGUAGGCGGUCUGUCGCGUCGGCUGUGAAAACUCGGGGCUCAACUCCGAGCUUGCAGUCGAUACGGGCAGGCUAGAGUUCGGCAGGGGAGACUGGAAUUCCUGGUGUAGCGGUGAAAUGCGCAGAUAUCAGGAGGAACACCUGUGGUGUAGACGGCUUUCUGGACCAUAACUGACGCUGAGACACGAAAGCGUGGGGAGCAAACAGG
rnacentral:rRNA from 1 species